AUGGCUGGUGAAGGCAUCUCGAUAGAUGAAUUUAUGGAGUACGACUCAAUGGUCAGGCAGACAUUUAAAAGUGAGAACGAAGCGUACAAGUUCUACUUAGCGUAUGCGGAGAGCAAAGGGUUUGGUGUUAGAAAGGGCGAUCUAAAAUAUAAGGGAAACAAGGAAAAUGCAUACCGGAGGACGUUUGUGUGCUGCAAACAAGGAUAUCGUGACGUAAAGCACUUUGAUGAAACCGACAAGAAAAGGACACCAAGGGCACUCUCUCGGUGUGGUUGUCCUGCUCUUUUGCAGGUUGAGCUUCAAGCAAGCACUGGGUUGUGGUUUGUAAAGAAUUUUGUUGACCAACAUAGCCAUCCAUUCAUAAAUCCUGAGUUGUCACCUUUCCUGUGGUCUCAUCGUGGCCUGAACGACCCACAGAAGGCGGAUGUCAUUGAGUACUCGGUUGGUGGACUUCGCACACAUCAGAUAAUGGAUGUGAUGGAGAAGCAGGCUGGUGGUUUCGGCAAGGCUGGAUUUAUAUCUCGCGAUCUGUAUAACCAUGUCGCAUUGGAGAAGAAGAAAAAGAUAGAAGGUAGCGAUGCUCAGUUUAUGCUGAACUACAUGACAGCACAACAGAUGAAAGACCCAGAUUUUUUUUACAGAUACACCACAGACAUUGAUGGGCAUCUGCAGAACAUAUUCUGGGCAGACGCCCAAUCUCGCUUGGACUAUGUUGCAUUUGGUGGUGUGGUGGUGUUUGACAGCACAUACCGGUCAAACAAAUAUAGGUUGCCAUUUGUUCCAUUUGUGGGGCUGAACCAUCACCGUAGCACAGUCGUGUUUGGGGUUGGUCUUGUAUCCGGCGAAUGGGCUGACUCAUAUGAGUGGCUGCUUCAGGUUUUUUUGGAGGCAAUGCACCAGAAGCAUCCCAUUUCAACGAUCACAGACGGCGACGCUUCAAUGGCCAAAGCCAUAUCAUCAGUCUGGCCUAGCACAUAUCACCGUCUGUGCAGCUGGCAUAUCGAGCAGAAUAUGGUGCUUCACCUCCGAAAGGAAAAGCUUAAGGAAUUUAGGAAAUUUAUUUACUAUGCCAUGGAUAUGCAUGGAUUCAUAGGAUGUACGAGCUGA
rnacentral:rRNA from 1 species